AUGAAAGACUACGAUUUAAGAAGUAAUAAGAAGUAAUCUCCCCUUGAUAUCCGUUAAAAAUGGCUCAUGUAUUUUCACCAGUUUGCAUAAUGUUUUUCUGAGCUGCUUACAGUUAUAAAUGCUAGCCUGGGCUUGCUAAUUAUAAUUUAGAACUCUGUCUGUUCCACUAGAUGGUGUCUGCUUUUCCUCUAUGACAUAAAUGGGGCUAAAUGAACUAGAGGCAAAGACCAAAAAUAUAUAGAAGAGGGACACAGGUUUGAGCUUUGGAAUCAGAUAGACCUGGAUUUGCAUCCCAAAUACUCCACUUGAAAGUGUAGGUGACUCUUUGUGCCUCCACUGUUGCAAAAUCAAUGUGAAAUUAAAACCAGCCCAAUUUUCCCAUAAAACUAAGCUUGAGAAAUUUACAUUUGUCUUAUCUGAGUUUCUUUCUCAGGAAACCACCAUCAGGCCUCCCAGAUGGUAGCAGGGAGCUGAGGCUUUCCAGAUCACCACACCUGAACAAUGAGAGGCACCUGCUCCUUGUUGACCAACUCCUCUUCCUUGUCCCUCCUGUUUUCCUUCCCUGUUAUAUAAGCCCAUAAUUUUAGCCAGUUAAGGAGAGACAGAUUUAAUUAUUAGGUUGAUGUCAUCUGCAAUAAAGCUUUCCUUCCUGGGCAAUAUUCCUUUUCUCAGUGAUUGGCUUUCUAUAUGGAGAGCAAUAAGACCUAGGCCAAACUCCUGGCAUUUGGCAACAAAAUAGUGGAAAGAGCACUUUGGCUUAGGAAUGUGAGUCUUGGAUUCUAAUCUAGCUGUGACUUUGGGCAAGUUAUUUAAUUUAUUGCACAUUCUCAAAUUCCUCACCUGUAGAAUAAGGAUAAUAUCUCCAUUAUGGGAUUCUUCUAAAAGUGAACAACAAAGCACCUGACACAGAAGGUAAUUGGUAAAUGUUAAUUUCUGUCACUAAUAUAGGGUAGUCAUGACUUUUCUAUCAAAGAUAACUUUGUUCAUUGGUAAGAAGACACUCACUCUAGAGGUAUUUUUUCCCAUGACUUUUAUCCUCCUAAGGAGUCUAGGGUAAUUGUGUUUCAAUAUGACUAAUAACCCUAUCACUAGACACUAAAACCAGAAGCAUAUUCCUAUUAGGAAGAUUUUACCCAGAAAUAUACAUUCCUAACAGAAUGGAAAGUGAUAGCGAGUACUGCCAGCUUACAACAUUCCUUUUGCAUACACUGUCUGUUUUCUAUUACAGGUGGAAUCCAUUUUAAUGAAUACCAUUUUAAACAUCUGUUUCUACACAGUGAGGCUAUUUUUGUGUUCUAACAGAUGGGCUACAGGAACCUUGCUUUGUUGACUUGGCUAAAACAAAUUCUAAAAAAUGAAAAUUCUUUCUUCACAAAUACUGUCCCUGCAGAAAUAAGUUUUUUAAAUAAAAGACUGUGAGCUCAGAGCACUAGGACGAAGAAUGAUUCAACUUCCUAUGUCCAAUAACUAGCACAGAGCUUAAUACUCAUGGAUGCUUAAUAAAUGCUCAUUGAAUUUAACACCUAUGAAGAAGUAUUCCUGUGCUUGAAUUGAGCAUUCUUACCUAAUUUGGGUGCUCCCUGAGACCAAGAACUAUGUUUCAUUUCCUUGGGAUUUGGCACAAAGACUCUUAGUACCACAUGUUGGUUGAAAAAAAUUAAAUUACUAUGCCAAAGUUAAUAUGCAAAGUCAAACUGACCUUUGUUUCACGACUUGGAUGCACAUAUAAAUCUACUACAUGCUGCUGAAUUAAAUGCUAAUAGUAAGUGACUCAACUACAGUGUGUCCUGGGGAAACUCAGCCUAAAGCUCUUCACUGUAGCCACUGCCUAGAAGGAAGGGCAAAGGCGAAAUUCUCCAAGACGAAGACUUGACACACCACCGGGUUUGGCGAGCUGCGGAAACAGGUUACCUCAAAAAAACCUGAGUCUGGAUCUGGGACUGUGGCAAUUGACUUGAAGGAGACCGCUGGGAGCACAGUGGAGGGCUUGGUCCCCUUCCGUCAAGUUACAUCCAACUAAAGCCUGGCGCCAACUUCAGCUAACCAUUCCAAAAGAGGCGACAGCUUCUGACCCCCGAGCCCCAGGCUUCCUGCCUUCAAGUCCCGGCUUUCCAGAGACUCUGGCUUCCAGGCCUGGCCUGGCUUCGGGCGCGAGGCUCUGGCUUCCAGCCAGUAGCAGAGGCACCGCCCAGUUGCGAAAGCUCUGGGCACGCCCGUCACCUCUAGGCUCAUGAGUUGGCCUGGUUGGUCUUCCCACUCCUCACUCGUCCUCAGUCCUCACUCUCCAUUACUGCCACCUAGCAAGCUUCGAACGUACUAGGGGGAAAAAUGGCCCCCGCUCUUUUUGCUCCUAUGGGGGUUGGUGGCCUACGUGGAGUCUCCUAUUUGCAGGUCUGAGUUAGCAACAUGGCACCAAUUUUCACUCGUUUUCUCUUGCUCCCAUUCCUUGGCAUCCACUGGGCUUUGGGGAUUUGGAGUCAAUGGCAUUCCUCUCUCUGAUCUAGAGUCACUUGAAGAGUCUGUGCUCUAGUUGACGCCUGCGGCUUGCAAUAAAGGAUCCCUUGUACUGAUUGUAAGGGAAAGGCUCAAAUCUUUUUAAAAGGAGAAAGUGUUAAGUCUAAAACUAAGAAAAGUUGCCUUAUUCUCACCCUUCCAAAAUGGUCUUUGGAAUAAUGACAUAAUCCUCAUUCCCCACUUCCUUAUAUCUGAACACUUUCUGGAAAGAAACUUAUUUCCCACCACAUGCUAAUUAAGGUAGAAGUCAGGAGCCUGUCCUUUAGGGAUGACCUCAUUUUUGCAGGGUAAUGGUAAUGAAAUGUACUAGGGGUAAAAAGUAAUAUCAAGGCUAACUUAUUCCAAAAUUAAGAUUUGCUGAAACUUAACAUAUGAAACAUAAGCACAGAACAUGAUAAAAGCAACCAAUUCAGCCUGAAUAUAUUUUCUGUUAGUAUAAUCCAUCAAAUGUUUUUCAAAAUGGGAUCCAUCUUAUUCACUGUCAAAAGUGAUGUGUGUUCAAAGUUAGUAUUUCACUUUUGAAUUUCUAUAGUCCCACCCUCUGAGUUUAUGCAACAUAUGAAUAUAAUUGCCAGCCAAUGUAACAUGCCUAAUGAAUUGGAAAAAGAAUGUUCAAAACAAGUUAAAAGGUAGUAUAAAUAUAAUGGAGUGUAGGCUGUGUGGACACAUGAAUCUAAGCUAUUUAUUCGCUGUGUAUCUCUUUAAGCAAUUUAUUUGUCUUAAAUUGGGCUCCUGCACAACUAUGGCCCUAAGACAAGAAUUAGGAUACAGAGAACUUUAUUUGGGAAGCAUGGUAAGGAAGUGAGACUGGUAAGAGAGGAAAGCCAAUAAAAAUUGUGUCAAAAAAUAAGGUUUCUACUGAGGGCAACUGGAACUCAAUUCUACUGGAGACCCUCUGAAAGACUAUAUAAAACAGAACUCAGAAUUAUUCCACUGAGGGGCAAGAAAACUGAGAUAUACCAAUUCCCUUCUCUCAGUGGUUGAGGGUUACUCCUGGGAAUGUAAUUCUCUGGUACUUCCCUUGGCAGCCUUCCCUUGAGCAGCAUGCUCUUGCUGCCAGAAAGAUAAGUAGUUGAGAUUUGAAGCCAUUGGCAUGAGAUGCAUGGGAACUCCCAUUGAAGCUGCAGGUGGCCUUAAUGGUGGGCAAGAGGAUGUGGGCAGGGUAUUGAUUAUGUCCGUAUUCAUUCACUUUGUUUCUGUGUAAACUGGAGAUAAUAAUUACCCAUCUCAUAGAAUGAUGUUAAGUCUCUGGCCCAUAAAAAUACUAAAAAAUUAUUUAAAUGUGUUAAUAUAAUGUGUAUAUAAUAGGCACUUCUUUUUAAAUUUUUUGGCAUACAUUAAUAUUUGAUUGUGGUGCCACUCUAUUUGUGGCACACAUUCCUGUUUUCUGCAGUCUACUUCUAUUCACACCCGUUAGGAUUCUUAACUAUUACUUUACCUGGAAUAUGUUUCUAACCUGAUUCCUUAACACCCUGCUUUUUCCCCCUAGAAUUAUUUAUGCAUCCUCACUAGACCAUGAAGAGAAUGAAGACAGUGUAAUUUAUCCUUCAACAAAAAUGUAUGAAACACUUCAACAAACCAAGGAAUACAAAGAUUAAAAAGAAAGUCCCCUGCCAGUCACAGCCAGUCAUAGUGUUUCCUGCCUGUAAUCCCAGCACUUUGGGAUAAGGCAGGCAGAUUGUUUGAGAUCAGGAGACCAGGCUGGGAAACAUGGUGAAACCCUGUCUCAAAAGAAAAAAAAAAAAAGCCCUCACUCUCAGGGUAUUCACAAUUCAGGCUCAAUAUAAAGCAAAAAUUAAACAUAAAUACAUUAUGGUACUCUGACAAAGGUAAGAAGCAAAUAGGAGGAGUUAACUGAUCCUGUCUAUGAGAAUCAGAGAAAACUUCAGGAGGAGAUGGUACCUAAGAGAUGGUACCUAAGCAUAGGGUCAAUGAAUAAGUAGAAUUUAGUCCAGAAGAAUACAGAUCAGACUGUUAACAGUGGUUAUCUGUGGAGAGAGAAGUGUGAGUGUGUGUGUGUGUGUGUGUGUGUGUGUGUGUAGUUUCGAGAGGGGAGAUCAAGAUGAAGGAAUACUUACCUUUUAACUGCGUGUAUUUUUGUGUUGUGUGAAUGUUUUACUAAGAAUGUGUAAUCAUCAGUUGUUUGUGUAGUUUAAAAAAGAACAUUAGCUUGAAGGUCUAAUAUAUGCCAGCCCCUGUGGUAAAUGCUCUGUAUACAUUAUUGCAUUUAACUCUAACAAUCAUCAUUGUACAUAUACCAAGAGAGGCUAAACAUCUUGCUCAGUUGUCACAGCUGGUAAAUAAUAGAACCAUAAUUUGAACCCAGGGUUUUUCUGGCUUCAGAUCCGAUGACUGAUAGAUACACCAUUAGGAUUAACAAAACCCAAGGGACUGCUAUUAAAUUUGUGGACCAUGGGGUUUUGUGCUGCGUAGGGAAAGAGGUAGGGCUGGAAGUAAAGCCAAAGAGUGGUUAUAAAUUGGGGGUGUGGGAAGGGAAAAGUCAAGUGUAUGGGAAUCUCAAUGCACUAAAAUUAUAGUGGAAUUAAGGUAGUAAAAACUGAAAUAAUGAUCAGAGAGAAGCGUAUUAUCAUCAAAGAAUGGAAUAUAAAAGUUGAAAUUUCAGAGGCAAAGCAGUUUGGGACUGAGGUGGGGGAGGGUGGAGGACAGCAUGGAAAAUAGGGGGAGAGUGAUCAUAGUUAGCAUUUAUUAAGUUUUUAGAGUACUGGGUACUAUACUGAGCACUUUGUGUGCAUUGUCUUACUUAAUCCUCACAAUCCAUAGUAAGGUAAAUACUAUCGUCACUUUCAUUUAAUAGAUGAUAUGGUUUUGAUUACUUUCCCAAAUUAAGCUAAUAGAAUCAAAUUUUCAUAAGGCAGCUUCAUUUCAUAGUCAAUUUUAUUACUGUAUUAUUCAGCAGAUUUUUUCCAAUGUUAUUUUUUAAAUCAUUUCUUAGAGUUUUACAAAAUAAUUAUAAUCACAAAUAUUAAUGAUUUAGUAUUAAAUAACGUGACUUAAAACACCUGUUUUGUUAUAUUAUGGUUGUAUUUUAUUAUGCUUUUCAGAUCAAAUAAAAGAGAAUCAAUGUGAGUGCUAAACUAAACUACUUAUUUUGGACAGCUACCAUUUUAAAAUUCAGAGCAGGCUAUACUUCAAAGAAUUUAAUUUAUGGGAGGAAAAUGAUUUUAUGGAUAUUCAAACUAAGAGUUUGAACACAAAAUAAAGAGACUCUGUAACCUAGGCUGGGG
rnacentral:lncRNA from 10 species